UGCGUAGGCGGCUUGGUAGGUCUGGUGUGAAAGCCCCGGGCUCAGCCCGGGAAGGGCACUAGAAACUGCCAAGCUAGAGUGCCGGAGGGGAGAGUGGAAUUCCUGGUGUAGCGGUGAAAUGCGUAGAUAUCAGGAGGAAUACCGGUGGCGAAAGCGACUCUCUGGACGGCAACUGACGCUGAGGCACGAAAGCGUGGGGAGCAAACAGGAUUAGAUACCCUGGUAGUCCACGCCGUAAACGAUGGGCACUAGGUGUCGGGGGUAUCCACUCCCUCGGUGCCGCCGCUAACGCAUUAAGUGUCCCGCCUGGGAAGUACGGUCGCAAGAUUAAA
rnacentral:rRNA from 1 species